GAGGAAUGGAGCAGGAUAGAGAGAGAUAGUGAGUCAGCGAGCUUCAUCUAGGGAUCAACAGUAACUGAUCAAGUCAGUGUUGGAGGAAGGAGAACAGAUUGAUUUGUGGGCUUUCAUUUAGUUUGUCCAGAUUCUUCUGUUCAUUAACAGCGGCUGUGAAGACAAGACAGAGAGAAAAAUAGGAAGGGGAAGAUAAGUGUCAAUCUGUUCAGACUUGUUUGGGAAUUUGAGCAAGGAAGGAGGGAGGAGGAGGAGGAGGGGUGAAACAGCAAGAGAGAGAGAGAAGAGCAGAGGGGAGAGGUUGACAGACAGAUUGAGAAGAAAACAGAUGCUGAGAGAGACAGAGUGUCAGGAUUGGAUUAAAGUUUAAAUAGAACUCCCCCCAUCAGAUCUGGAGAGGAAGGAUAGCUUGUGUUGUGCAAUCCUUGUUAGUUCACACUACUAAACUAACUGAGAGCUGCAGAGAGAAGGGAGACUGGACAUCUCUAGCGUACUAAACUCAGAUGAUGAGGAGGUGAGCGUCAACUGGGGAGACGUGGACCUGAGGAAUGUCAUGGAUACCAUCAGAAUGGAUAGGAGGAACUCCAAAUUUUACAAUUCCCAGCUCUACCAGCAGUACAGUGAGACGGCUCAGAACAGG